CCUAGUAUGUUUGUUUCAGUGUGCCUAUCAAAUUAAAAUCAAAAUGUGGGAGAAGUUCUUCCAUUAAAUCAAUCUCGCAUUAGCAAUAGGUUCGCCUAGUUAGUGUUGAGCUAAUUUUGACUUUUUUGCACCUGAAGUAAGCAGGAUAAC
rnacentral:misc_RNA from 1 species